UAAGCGACUAAGCGUACACGGUGGAUGCCCUGGCAGUCAGAGGCGAUGAAGGACGUGCUAAUCUGCGAUAAGCGUCGGUAAGGUGAUAUGAACCGUUAUAACCGGCGAUUUCCGAAUGGGGAAACCCAGUGUGUUUCGACACACUAUCAUUAACUGAAUCCAUAGGUUAAUGAGGCGAACCGGGGGAACUGAAACAUCUAAGUACCCCGAGGAAAAGAAAUCAACCGAGAUUCCCCCAGUAGCGGCGAGCGAACGGGGAGCAGCCCAGAGCCUGAAUCAGUGUGUGUGUUAGUGGAAGCGUCUGGAAAGACGCGCGAUACAGGGUGACAGCCCCGUACACAAAAAUGCACAUGCUGUGAGCUCGAUGAGUAGGGCGGGACACGUGGUAUCCUGUCUGAAUAUGGGGGGACCAUCCUCCAAGGCUAAAUACUCCUGACUGACCGAUAGUGAACCAGUACCGUGAGGGAAAGGCGAAAAGAACCCCGGCGAGGGGAGUGAAAAAGAACCUGAAACCGUGUACGUACAAGCAGUGGGAGCACGCUUAGGCGUGUGACUGCGUACCUUUUGUAUAAUGGGUCAGCGACUUAUAUUCUGUAGCAAGGUUAACCGAAUAGGGGAGCCGAAGGGAAACCGAGUCUUAACUGGGCGUUAAGUUGCAGGGUAUAGACCCGAAACCCGGUGAUCUAGCCAUGGGCAGGUUGAAGGUUGGGUAACACUAACUGGAGGACCGAACCGACUAAUGUUGAAAAAUUAGCGGAUGACUUGUGGCUGGGGGUGAAAGGCCAAUCAAACCGGGAGAUAGCUGGUUCUCCCCGAAAGCUAUUUAGGUAGCGCCUCGUGAAUUCAUCUCCGGGGGUAGAGCACUGUUUCGGCAAGGGGGUCAUCCCGACUUACCAACCCGAUGCAAACUGCGAAUACCGGAGAAUGUUAUCACGGGAGACACACGGCGGGUGCUAACGUCCGUCGUGAAGAGGGAAACAACCCAGACCGCCAGCUAAGGUCCCAAAGUCAUGGUUAAGUGGGAAACGAUGUGGGAAGGCCCAGACAGCCAGGAUGUUGGCUUAGAAGCAGCCAUCAUUUAAAGAAAGCGUAAUAGCUCACUGGUCGAGUCGGCCUGCGCGGAAGAUGUAACGGGGCUAAACCAUGCACCGAAGCUGCGGCAGCGACGCUGAUGCGUUGUUGGGUAGGGGAGCGUUCUGUAAGCCUGUGAAGGUGUGCUGUGAGGCAUGCUGGAGGUAUCAGAAGUGCGAAUGCUGACAUAAGUAACGAUAAAGCGGGUGAAAAGCCCGCUCGCCGGAAGACCAAGGGUUCCUGUCCAACGUUAAUCGGGGCAGGGUGAGUCGACCCCUAAGGCGAGGCCGAAAGGCGUAGUCGAUGGGAAACAGGUUAAUAUUCCUGUACUUGGUGUUACUGCGAAGGGGGGACGGAGAAGGCUAUGUUGGCCGGGCGACGGUUGUCCCGGUUUAAGCGUGUAGGCUGGUUUUCCAGGCAAAUCCGGAAAAUCAAGGCUGAGGCGUGAUGACGAGGCACUACGGUGCUGAAGCAACAAAUGCCCUGCUUCCAGGAAAAGCCUCUAAGCAUCAGGUAACAUCAAAUCGUACCCCAAACCGACACAGGUGGUCAGGUAGAGAAUACCAAGGCGCUUGAGAGAACUCGGGUGAAGGAACUAGGCAAAAUGGUGCCGUAACUUCGGGAGAAGGCACGCUGAUAUGUAGGUGAAGUCCCUCGCGGAUGGAGCUGAAAUCAGUCGAAGAUACCAGCUGGCUGCAACUGUUUAUUAAAAACACAGCACUGUGCAAACACGAAAGUGGACGUAUACGGUGUGACGCCUGCCCGGUGCCGGAAGGUUAAUUGAUGGGGUUAGCCGCAAGGCGAAGCUCUUGAUCGAAGCCCCGGUAAACGGCGGCCGUAACUAUAACGGUCCUAAGGUAGCGAAAUUCCUUGUCGGGUAAGUUCCGACCUGCACGAAUGGCGUAAUGAUGGCCAGGCUGUCUCCACCCGAGACUCAGUGAAAUUGAACUCGCUGUGAAGAUGCAGUGUACCCGCGGCAAGACGGAAAGACCCCGUGAACCUUUACUAUAGCUUGACACUGAACAUUGAGCCUUGAUGUGUAGGAUAGGUGGGAGGCUUUGAAGUGUGGACGCCAGUCUGCAUGGAGCCGACCUUGAAAUACCACCCUUUAAUGUUUGAUGUUCUAACGUUGACCCGUAAUCCGGGUUGCGGACAGUGUCUGGUGGGUAGUUUGACUGGGGCGGUCUCCUCCUAAAGAGUAACGGAGGAGCACGAAGGUUGGCUAAUCCUGGUCGGACAUCAGGAGGUUAGUGCAAUGGCAUAAGCCAGCUUGACUGCGAGCGUGACGGCGCGAGCAGGUGCGAAAGCAGGUCAUAGUGAUCCGGUGGUUCUGAAUGGAAGGGCCAUCGCUCAACGGAUAAAAGGUACUCCGGGGAUAACAGGCUGAUACCGCCCAAGAGUUCAUAUCGACGGCGGUGUUUGGCACCUCGAUGUCGGCUCAUCACAUCCUGGGGCUGAAGUAGGUCCCAAGGGUAUGGCUGUUCGCCAUUUAAAGUGGUACGCGAGCUGGGUUUAGAACGUCGUGAGACAGUUCGGUCCCUAUCUGCCGUGGGCGCUGGAGAACUGAGGGGGGCUGCUCCUAGUACGAGAGGACCGGAGUGGACGCAUCACUGGUGUUCGGGUUGUCAUGCCAAUGGCACUGCCCGGUAGCUAAAUGCGGAAGAGAUAAGUGCUGAAAGCAUCUAAGCACGAAACUUGCCCCGAGAUGAGUUCUCCCUGACCCUUUAAGGGUCCUGAAGGAACGUUGAAGACGACGACGUUGAUAGGCCGGGUGUGUAAGCGCAGCGAUGCGUUGAGCUAACCGGUACUAAUGAACCGUGAGGCUUAACCU
rnacentral:rRNA from 1 species